GAUGAACGCUAGCGGUGUGCUUAAAGCAUGCAAGUCGAACGUGAUCUCUUGGAUUCGUCUGAGGGUGAAAGUGGCGAACGGGUGAGUAAUGCGUUGGUGAUCUGCCCCGGAGUGGGGAAUAACUAUUGGAAACGAUAGCUAAUACCCCAGAUGUCCUCGUGUUUGGAAAGCGAUGACUAAAGUUCAGGCGCUCCGGGAGGAGCCGACGUCCCAUCAGCUAGUUGGUAGGGUAAUGGCCUACCAAGGCACAGACGGGUAGGGGGCGUGAGAGCGUCGACCCCCCACACUGGUACUGACACACGGACCAGAUACCUACGGGUAGCAGCAGCUAGGAAUAUUGGACAAUGGGCGAAAGCCUGAUCCAGCAACACCGCGUGGAGGACGAAGGCCUUCGGGUCGUAAACUCCUUUUUGGGGGGAUGAGAAAGGACAGUACCCCCAGAAUAAGGCCCGGCUAACUACGUG
rnacentral:rRNA from 1 species